UACGGAGGGAGCAAGCGUUACUCGGAAUUAUUGGGCGUAAAGGGCGCGUAGGCGAUCUGACAAGUCUGGUGUGAAAGCCCACAUGUUAACUGUGGAAGUGCAUUAGAAACUGUUGGAUUUGAGUUCAGGGAGAGGAAGGCAGAAUUCCCGGUGUAGCGGUGAAAUGCGUAGAGAUCGGGAGGAAUACCAGUGGCGAAGGCGGCCUUCUGGACUGACACUGACGCUGAGGCGCGAAAGCCAGGGGAGCAAACGGGAUUAG
rnacentral:rRNA from 1 species